rnacentral:rRNA from 1 species
UACGUAGGGGGCAAGCGUUGUCAGGAUUUAUUGGGCGUAAAGAGCGUGUAGGCGGCCAGGUAGGUCUGCUGUGAAAACUCGAGGCUUAACCUCGAGCUGUCGGCGGAAACCAUCUGGCUAGAGUCCGGAAGAGGAGAAUGGAAUUCCCGGUGUAGCGGUGAAAUGCGCAGAUAUCGGGAAGAACACCCGUGGCGAAGGCGGUUCUCUGGGACGGUACUGACGCUGAGACGCGAAAGCGUGGGGAGCGAACAGG